UAAUUUAUUUUUAAUGAAACAACUUAACAGUAGAUAUAAUUAUAGUAAAAUUUAAAAUAUCAUUCAAUAAAUGGGACUUUAAAUUCAACUUAGUUAAAAUAAAUCUUGUGAAAUAAAAAUUCUUUUUGGAUUUAGAAAGUAGAAGGAUUAAAUCAGGGAAAAUUGCAGAGACUUUGGCUAAUAAUCCUUUUCGGACUCAAUCGUAGGCUAAUAUUAUGGACUCUGCCUAAUAUUUUUUAUUUUAAUUUUACUCAUGAUAAACAUUUUUUUAUUAACAUUAAUCAUAAUAAACUCACCUCUCACCAAACCAAAACAAAAACCUAAACUUCCUCAACCUCUCGAGUCUUCAGCCGCCACACCCCUUCUCCCCUUUUUUCUAUUUGUUUCUUCGUUUAUCAAUAAAAAGGUGCAUUUUAAUCCUCAAAUGCAGAAAGAUCAAGGAUUCAACGUUUGAUGCAUAGGGUGAAACUACUUCUUCCUUGAAUGCAAUUGAAUGGCGACAUCUCUAAGCCCCAGAUGAAAUACCUAGAACUU